rnacentral:tRNA from 1 species
GCCGUCGUAGCUCAGGGGUAGAGCAACGCACUCGUAAUGCGUAGGCCGGAGGUUCAAUUCCUCUCGACGGCACCA